UCAUCGCGUGUAACGUAUGCACAUUGUAGGUGGUACAUACACGUGGAAUGUGCUCCUUCAUCUACCUCUCAGGUGUUAAUAUUGUACACGUACAAUGAGACAGAUGUGUAUUAAAAUUAAUUGAACAAAAAAUAAAAAAAAAAAAAAAAAACGCGACGAAGAGAGAGAAGCUUAUAACGUUCUGUAAUCACAAAUUGCAUAAUGUACGAGUGAGAUAUGUAUCGAGUUUUUUUCUCGUAUUGCAAAAUUUUUUAAUACAUUUUGCACUUUGUGGGAUAAAAGAAGAGAACGACGAGAUCACGAAGAGAGGUAGAAACAAACGAGUAUGUAUAUUAAGUAUACGUAUAUAAUAUUAAUGAACGAAUACAUAUAUGUGUAAUAUAAUGGUACGUACCGAUGUAGAUACAAUAAAAGUUUAAUGGAAAUAAUAAUUAAAUUAAAACGUGACGUAAUCUAAAAAAAUAGCAUACAUGCAGUAGUGGGUGGGUUAUUUGUUUCUUUGUUCACCGAUCGAAGUAGACAAAAUGAAAAAUAGUUGCCAAUAGAUGAAUAUCGAUUGAAGCGAAAUCGGAAGAAUUGAUUGUAGAUAAUCGAAUGUCUAUUUGUAUCGAAUCAGGUGACCGAUUAAAAUUUAAAAAAAAAGACUUUGAAAAUAAUAAAAAUUAAAGAACAAAUAAACCGAAUAAAUGACAAAUCAAAUAUGGGCGCAGCGAGUACGUUCUACCUUGGAAUUAUCGGCAUUUUUCUCGAAAAUGUUACGA